rnacentral:lncRNA from 1 species
UGCCAAAUACCUGUAAUAUUGAAAGAGACUAAUGUACAGUUUUAUGUGAAAGAAAUGAAAUGUACUUGACAUGCUCUGCUUGUUUUAUUUUCUAACAGUUACAAGGAAUGUCUAUCAUUAAUUUUGGGAGAUUUGUACACUGAAGGAUUCUUAUUUGAAAACUAUAUUUUAAUUACACUUAAGUUUAAAUAUUAUUACUGAAGCGUGUUUGUCUAAAAAUACAGUAGAAUACACUAUAAAUUAUGCAGGCUUAUGAAGAUGUAAGACCCUUAUUCAUCCAAAAGCCAGUUUAAAUGCUAAAACAAAUUUCAAACCCUCGCAUCUGAUUAUAAAGUAUUUCUCUACUAUCUAUCCAUCUAUUACUGACACUCGAUUUAUAGAGUAUGGCUCUUUACUGGGCCAGAUAAGAACAGUCGGGUCGCCAGUCAGCCAGCUGUGCCACAAGAAAGCCAGAACUGACUCAGACAUGACUGCUACCUUGGUUAGCAUUUGAAUAGAUUUGGAGUGGCGCGUUCAGACUGGAUUUCUUUUUAUAGACUGCCGAAAUCCCAAGAGAAGAGAAGGAAGUGGAUCUCCGCCAUCGGAAGACUCAACUGGAAUCCGACCAGCGAAACUUGGCUCUGCAGCAGCCACUUUGUGUCAGGUAAAAAGAGCAACGAUCCUCAUCAUCCAGACUACGUUCCUUCUGUAUUCAGCUUCACCUCUCCCACCGAAUACCAUCUGGCUUUCAACAACGUCGACCAGUACGUGCGAUCUCUAAACUUGCGGGAAUUUAACAAGACGGCAGGUAACAAGGAAGGUCCAGUGCUGCAGCAAAGCCCAGAGGGGGCGCUCAGUGACAUCAGUCUACUGCACGAGCUCAUAAGGUAUUUAAAAAGCAAGUUCCUGUCGCUGGGAUACACGUUUCACGGUUUGGAAAGCCAGCUGGACCGCGACUCGACGGACAAUGAAAACUUCGACUGCUGGAUUAAGUUUUUCACCGGACUCCCCAACGUGCCCACCGUGAUGCUGCUGUUCACCUACGUGUCCUCAUCGCUCACCGAAAAGUCAAGCUGUCUCUCAGGCCGGUCC